rnacentral:rRNA from 1 species
CAAUAGCGUAUAUUAAAAUUGUUGCGGUUAAAACGCUCGUAGUUGGAUAUCUGUGAGCGGGUUCCGGUCCUUCCCAGUGAAGAUUACACGGAACUCUGCUCGCAUUUGUUCAGGGAGGGUGGAUGCACUUCACUGUGUGACCACAUGAUCUGAAUUUUUACUUUGAGGAAAUGAGAGUGUUCCAAGCAGGCAAUCGCCGUGAAUAUGAUAGCAUGGAAUAAUAGCACAGGACUCUGGGUUCAAUGCUGUUGGUUGAUUGAACUCGAGUAAUCAUAAUAAGGAUAGUUGGGGUAGUUCGUAUUUAACUGUCAGAGGUGAAUUACUUGGUAUUUUUAAAGUAACGAACAAUUGCGAAGGCAUCUACCCAGGAUGUUUUUGUUGAUCAAGAACGAAAGUUAGGGGAGUCGAAGACGAUUAGAUACCAU